rnacentral:rRNA from 1 species
UACGUAGGUGACCAGCGUUGUCCGGAUUUACUGGGCGUAAAGAGCGCGCAGGCGGUCGUUCAAGUCGAGUGUGAAAGCCCCCGGCUCAACUGGGGAGGGUCAUUCGAUACUGAUCGACUCGAAGGCAGGAGAGGGAAGCGGAAUUCCCAGUGUAGCGGUGAAAUGCGUAGAGAUCGGGAAGAACAUCGGUGGCGAAGGCGCUCUACUGGACCACAACUGACACUCAGGGACGAAAGCUAGGGGAGCGAAUGGG